rnacentral:sRNA from 1 species
GGGGAAGGAUGAGAAGCUUCGACUAAGGUUCGACUCGAGCGAAGUGAGAGAACGUUGCCGCAGGCAACGGCCCGAAGGCGAGGCGCUUUAGCGCCGAGUAAUCCUUCCCCCACCACUG